ensembl:lncRNA
GAGUAAGAAAUGCAUUUUAAUCUUUCUGCAGCCAUAUCCUGCCAUCUGGCCUUGUGGCAAAAUCAAGAGAAUUGUGCCUGAAGACCAAAGGCAGAACAUGGCCCUGACUCUUGUGUAACUUCCCCCAAAGUCCUCGUCAGUCAGGAGACACUAUUGUGCUGCCAUGGGCAGCAGUGCUUGAUAAACAGCAGUCCUGCAUCUCCCUCCCAUCUGUGUAUGCAAAAGAAUCCAUAAAUUAGAAUUUCAUGCCUCAUUUUUAUUUCUUUAGUGCGAAAUGCAAUGUCUACUAUGAAAUUCCCAGGGCCAACAGAUUGUGAAUAUUCAAUAAAUCACGCCACUUCUUUUGCACUGUUUUCCUGUUUUUAUAGUGACACAGUUGAACUAGGUAAUUGUCAAGGUCAAAAUCCAACUAUUUUUGAGAAUCCUGAGAUCCAGUGAGCACAGUUUGAAGGCUGAAGAUAUUAACACUGGAGUAGGUGGCACACAGCCUCACAUCUCCUACCCAGACAGGCAGGUGCCAAGGACAUAGCGAAAGGCAGCAGUGUUUGUAUGCGAAAUUUCCACUUUAUAAAGCACCCUCAUGAGGCUACCUAUGUCUGCUAAAGCUGGGAAAUCCUUUUUUUGUUUUGAAGAUCCUAGCUGGCUGCCUCCUUCCACUGAUUCUCCAGCCAGCAUUGGGGCACAGUCUGAUGGUCAGGGGCCAGGAGAUGGCCAGCCCUUCACAGCUUUCCCUGGCAUCAACCCGAGGUAACUUUGCUGAUGCCCUGUGUCUCAGCUCUUCAUCUGGAAACGGACUACACCUGUUGGUCUGGAUUGCAGCUGGAAUUGGAAGGGAAAUGCAUUUCCAUUGAAGGAAGAAGUAUGAGAGUGAGCAGGCAGGUGUCAGCAGAGCUCAAGAGAAUAACGUCAAGUGGACGAUGACUUACAGGCAGGAGGAGGCAGAUCAGCUAGGCAGAUGUGCAGAAGUUAAGUGUGGUUUCAUGCAGAAACUUCCAAGUGGAUUCAAGAGCCAAAGACUUCAAGAAGUUGGUGUAAUUGUCACUUGGAAUAUGUUUGUAUUAAUUCAGAUCAUACCUACCAAUAAUAUGGAGGAUUCAGAGAGAGGAGUUCCGGAGACGUGGGUCUGAUUCCAGCUUUGCCUCCUGCUAAAUAUCUAAUCCUGGGCAAGUCAUGUAGCCUCUGGGUGUUCCAGUCGGGCCACCUUUAAAAUGGGAAUAAUUCUGUCUACUUCACUUAUCUCAUACAGCCAGGUGAGGACAUUCACAUUUUGGCAUAUAAUGUAAUAAGGUUGUAGAUGAAGCGUUUAUUAGGAUAAUGUCUUGGCUAAUAGGUUGGGCAGACCAGUUGACAUCCUCAGGGUAUCAUUGGAAGAACCCGAAGGUCUUAUCCAAGUGUGUUUCCCACCAAUAAUUCUCACAUUUCCACCUUUGGAUCUUUUGUUAAGGAUCCUGUGGGAAACUAGAUAUCAUAGGUUAUUAACCCCAUGAAGUCACGUUUCUAUUUCAAUCUACUUAUUUCACAUUUUUGUUAAAACUUCUGAAGCAAAUGAAUUUCUUAUCGAAUUGAUUUUAGACUGCUAUUAGCUCAGAUUCACUUCGUGAGUUAGAAUGCCUCUUAGAAAUAUAACACCCAGGGAAAAGCUUCCGGGUGAGUCUUUCUUUUUUGAUAGCAGUUGGCUGAUCCCCAUGAACAUGGACUUCAUCUUCUUUAGAUGCUUUAGGACAUGCGGCUAUGCAGUUAGGGAACUGCGAUCUGAGGCAGGGGAGUGUAGGAAAAGUAAGUGAUCGUGGGGAGUGGAGUCGCAAGACAGGGUGGGGGAAGGAUGGUUCUGGAGCACUUCGUGUUCCAUCCCAGCCCGAUGAGGCCCAGGAGAACUUUCUCCAGCCGAGGAGGCCCUGGUGAACUUUCUCCAUGUGGGGAGCUGUCGAGAACUUGAGCUUCC